rnacentral:rRNA from 1 species
CAGUAUCACGUGGCUAACCCACCCUCGGGACGGCGACAACCCCGGGAAACUGGGGCUAGUAGCUGAUAGGCGAGGAAUCCUGAAAUGGUACUUCACCCAAAGGGUGUUAGAGUCAUGCUUUCUAACAUCGUCCGAGGACGGGGCCGCGACCGAUCAGGUAGUUGGUGAGGUAACGGCUCACCAAGCCUAUAACCGGUACGGGCCGUGGGAGCGGGAGCCCGGAGAUGGGAACUGAGAAAAGGUCCCAGGCCCUACGGGGCGCAGCAGUUGCGAAAACUCCGCAAUGCACGAAAGUGUGACGGGGCUACCCCGAGUGCCGUCCGCUGAGGAUGGCUUUUCUCCGCUGUAAGGAUGCGGAGGAAUAAGGAGAGGGCAAGACUGGUGUCAGCCGCCGCGGUAAUACCAGCUCUCCGAGUGGUAGGGAUGAUUAUUGGGCUUAAAGCGUUCGUAGCCUGCCUUCCAAGUCUCUCGUUAAAUCCAGCGAUUCAAUCGUUGGGCUGCGGGAGAUACUGUUAGGCUAGGGGGCGGGAGAAGCCGACGGUAUUUCCGGGGUAGGGGUAAAAUCCUGUAAUCCCGGGAAGACCACCAGUGGCGAAGGCGGUCGGCUAGCACGCGCUCGACGGUGAGGGACGAAAGCUGGGGGAGCGAACCGGAUUAGAUACCCGAGUAGUCCCAGCUGUAAACGAUGCGGGCUAGGUGUUGGAGCGGCUACGAGCCGCUUCAGUGCCGCAGGGAAACUAUUAAGCCCGCCGCCUGGGGAGUACGAUCGCAAGAUUGAAACUUAAAGGAAUU